rnacentral:lncRNA from 1 species
AUACUAUACUAAAAGGGAUAUAUGAGCUCCCCUAAGCUAUGCCACGUCCUUUAAUAAAUUUAACCAAUCAGAGAACAUUGUUUUGCCAUGUCAUACAAACUUUUUACGAUUAGAUUUCAAGCAGGCCAUUUCUAUGGGCUAAUAAAAUUCUUCACUGGCCCAUCUAAAACACACCAUUCCAAAGGUGAAUUUUUUUAUCCCUUUCCAACCGUGCUCUUCCUAGACCUUAAUAAUAGUGAUGGUCGAUCCUAAUUCUGUCGCUUGCGCUCCU